UCCCAGUUAACCUGGGCAGUCUCAUUAGAGUCCCCACCUAAAAAUGUUGGCAACUAAUGAUAAGGGUUGCGCUCGUUGCGGGACUUAACCCAACACCUCACGGCACGAGCUGACGACAGCCAUGCAGCACCUGUGCAGAGGCCCCGAAGGGAAGCUGCAUUUCUACAGCGGUCCUCUGCAUGUCAAACCUGGGUAAGGUUCUUCGCGUUGCAUCGAAUUAAACCACGUGCUCCACUGCUUGUGCGGGCCCCCGUCAAUUCUUUUAGGUUUCACACUUGCGUGCGUACUUUCCAGGCGGUACACUUAACGCGUUAGCUCCGACACAACUAGGGUUGAAUCUAGUUACAUCAAGUGUACAUCGUUUACGGCAAGGACUAC
rnacentral:misc_RNA from 1 species